rnacentral:rRNA from 1 species
CCUACGGGAGGCAGCAGUAGGGAAUCUUCCACAAUGGACGAAAGUCUGAUGGAGCAACGCCGCGUGAACGAUGAAGGCCUUCGGGUCGUAAAGUUCUGUUGUAAGGGAAGAACAAGUGCCGCAGGCAAUGGCGGCACCUUGACGGUACCUUGCGAGAAAGCCACGGCUAACUACGUGCCAGCAGCCGCGGUAAUACGUAGGUGGCAAGCGUUGUCCGGAAUUAUUGGGCGUAAAGCGCGCGCAGGCGGCCUCUUAAGUCUGAUGUGAAAGCCCCCGGCUCAACCGGGGAGGGCCAUUGGAAACUGGGAGGCUUGAGUAUAGGAGAGAAGAGUGGAAUUCCACGUGUAGCGGUGAAAUGCGUAGAGAUGUGGAGGAACACCAGUGGCGAAGGCGACUCUUUGGCCUAUAACUGACGCUGAGGCGCGAAAGCGUGGGGAGCAAACAGGAUUAGAUACCCUGGUAGUCCACGCCGUAAACGAUGAGUGCUAGGUGUUGGAGGGUUUCCGCCCUUCAGUGCUGAAGCUAACGCAUAAU